UACGACGUGUUCAUAUAUCGCUUUGUAGUGCUGUAAUGUGCAAAUUAGUGGACUUUAUAGCGGCUCUCUAUUUUCCGUCGUUGUCUUUCGAGCAGCGCCUGUUGUUCCGGUAAAAAUCGAGUUGAAUGAAUCGCCACAGCCCCAACGUAUAUCGCGCAGUGUUGACCAAGACCAAGUCAAGCAGGAAUUCUGGCAUGGUAUGUGGCUGCACGAAGGAUUCCGAAAAAGAAAAACAACAACAUGGCUAAUAGGAUGUUGCUGCCCAGGGAGUCCUGGCGAAGAGGUUUACUCAUUCCAGAAGCAAGAAUUGUAUCAUUGUAAGGCGAAUGGAAAUAAACUGACAUCGACUGAGAUAGGUG